rnacentral:rRNA from 1 species
AGUCGUAACAAGGUUUCCGUAGGUGAACCUGCGGAAGGAUCAUUAUCUAAGGUCGUGGGGCGCCCUCUGGGCGUUCCCUAGCCUCACCGUGUCUACAUACUAUCGUUGCUUUGGCGCGCCGUCUUACGACCCUGGGCUCCGGCUCGGGCGCGCGCGCCAGAGAACCAAACUCUGAAUAUUAGUGAUGUCUGAGUACUAUAUAAUAGUUAAAACUUUCAACAACGGAUCUCUUGGUUCUGGCAUCGAUGAAGAACGCAGCGAAAUGCGAUAAGUAAUGUGAAUUGCAGAAUUCAGUGAAUCAUCGAAUCUUCGAACGCACAUUGCGCCCCGUGGUAUUCCGCGCGGCAUGCCUGUUCGAGCGUCAUUUAGACCAAUCGCGCCUGGCGUGGUGUUUGGGGCACGCGGUUCCGCGGCCCUCAAAAUCAGUGUCGGCGCCAGUAGGCUCUAAGCGUAGUAAUACUCCUCGCUAUAGAGUCCUGCGGGUAGCUCGUCAAAACCGCCAAUUUUUUAAGGUUGACCUCGGAUCAGUAGGGAUACCCGCUGAACUUAAGCAUAUUAAUAAGCGGAGGAAAAGAAGCCAACAGGGAUUACCUCAGUAACGGCGAGUGAAGCGGUAACAGCUCAAAUUUGAAAGCUCCUANCAAGGCGCAUUGUAAUUUGUAGAAGAUGCUUUGGGUGUCGGCCCAGUAUAAGUUCCUUGGAACAGGACGUCAUAGAGGGUGAGAAUCCCGUAUGUGAUUGGUGCCGUUGCCCGUGUAAAGCUCUUUCGACGAGUCGAGUUGUUUGGGAAUGCAGCUCAAAAUGGGUGGUAUAUUUCAUCUAAAGCUAAAUAUUGGCCAGAGACCGAUAGCGCACAAGUAGAGUGAUCGAAAGAUGAAAAGCACUUUGGAAAGAGAGUUAAACAGUACGUGAAAUUGUUGAAAGGGAAGCGCUUGCAACCAGACUUGCAGGCGGUCAAUCAUCCGGGGUUCUCCCCGGUGCACUUGAUCGUCUUCAGGCCAGCAUCGGUUUUGGUGGUGGGAUAAAGGCUGAGGGAAUGUGGCUCUUCGGAGUGUUAUAGCCCUCGGUCCAAUGCCGCCUACCGGGACCGAGGACCGCGCUUCGGCUAGGAUGCUGGCGUAAUGGUUGUAAGCGACC